GGCGGGGCCGGCGCGCCGGGGGGCUGCGGCGGCGCUGCGGGCGGGCGCGGACCUUGCUCGGGGCUGGCGGACCCGGGAACCCGCGGGCUGGCGGGCUGGCGAUCGCGCGGGCGCGGCCCCUGCGGGCAGGAGCCUCGGGCCGCCGCAACGCCGGACCGCCCGCCUCCCUGCUGCCGCCGAGAUGAGUGCAGUGUCGGAGCCCCAGGCUGCUCACAGCCCCCUGGAGAAGUCGCCCAGCACGGCCAUCCUGUGCAACACGUGUGGAAAUGUGUGCAAGGGGGAGGUGCUGAGGGUCCAGAACAAGUAUUUCCACAUCAAGUGCUUUGUCUGUAAAGCGUGUGGCUGUGACCUGGCCGAGGGCGGCUUCUUCGUGCGCCAGGGCGAGUACAUCUGCACGCGGGACUACCAGAGGCUGUACGGGACCCGCUGCUUCAGCUGCGACCGGUUCAUCGAGGGCGAGGUGGUGUCCGCGCUGGGCAAGACCUACCACCCCGACUGCUUCGUGUGCGCGGUGUGCCGGUUGCCCUUCCCGCCUGGGGACCGAGUGACCUUCAACGGGAAGGAAUGCGUGUGUCAGAAGUGCUCCCUGCCCAAGACAGCGGGCGGCAGCGUGCACCUGUCCCAGGGCCUCUGGAGUUGCGGGGGCUGCGGCACGGAAAUUAAAAACGGCCAGUCCCUGGUGGCUUUGGACAAACACUGGCACUUGGGCUGUUUUAAGUGCGAGACGUGUGGGAAACAGCUGGACGCGGAAUACAUCAGCAAGGACGGGCUGCCCUACUGCGAGACCGACUACCACACCAAGUUCGGCAUCCGCUGUGACGGCUGUGAGAAGUACAUCACGGGGCACGUGCUGGAGGCAGGAGAGAAACACUAUCACCCCUUGUGUGCGCUAUGUGUCAGGUGCGGCCGGAUGUUUGCGGAAGGCGAGGAGAUGUAUCUUCAAGGUUCCUCCAUCUGGCACCCGGCGUGCCGACAAGCAGCCAGAACUGAAGACAAAAACAAGGAAACCAGGAGCUCCUCAGAGAGCAUCAUUUCUGUACCUGCUUCCAGCACCUCGGGGUCUCCGAGCCGCGUGAUCUAUGCGAAGCUGGGCGAUGAGAUUCUCGACUACAGGGACCUGGCUGCCCUUCCCAAAAGCAAGGCCAUCUACAACAUCGACCGCCCCGACAUGAUCUCCUACUCGCCGUACAUCAGCCACUCGGUGGCCGACAGACAGAGCUGCAGCGAGUCCCCACAGGUACUCUCGCCAACGCCGACAGAGGGGGAUCAGGACGACCGUUCGUACAAGCAGUGCCGGACCUCCAGCCCCAGCUCCACGGGCUCCGUCAGCCUCGGGCGCUACACCCCGACCUCGCGGUCGCCCCAGCACUGCAGCCGUCCAGCUGGUACUGUGAGUGUUGGUACCAGUAGCUGCCUGUCCCUGUCCCAACACCCAAGCCCUACAUCCGUGUUCAGACAUCAUUACGUCCCCUACUUCCGAGGCAGUGAAAGUGGCCGGAGCACCCCCAGCCUCUCGGUGCUCUCAGACAGCAAGCCUCCCCCCUGCACCUACCAGCAGGCGCCUCGCCACUUCCACGUCCCAGACACUGGCGUAAAAGAUAACAUCUAUAGGAAACCCCCCAUCUACAAACAGCAUGGUCCUGUAGCCCAAUCCCCAAUUUCCAAGCUCUCGGGCCUGAUGUCAGUCUUGUCCUUGGUGGUGCACAAGGCAGGGUGCUCCAAAAGGCUAGAAGGUCCAAGCCCUCCAUGGGCUGCAGCCGCGAGGCGACCGGACGGAGAGGACAGCAGUUUCGAGCAGGAUAACAGGAAGCAGAAGACCAGCUGGCUGAUUCCCAAGGGGGACGCAGACACUAGGACUAAUUCUCCAGACCUAGACAGCCAGUCUUUGUCCCUCAGUAGCGGGACCGAUAGAGACCCUCUCCAAACAAUGCAAGGGGACAACUUUUCCUCACGAUCCCCCUAUUCCAAAUCUGACCCUCUCCCAGGACACGGAAAGAAUGGCCUGGACCACCGGAACGCCAAUCUGGCCCCUUGUGGAGCAGACCCGGAUGCCAGCUGGGGCACGCGAGAAUACAAGGUAAGAGGGGCCGCCCGCUGCCACACCGACCGCUUCGUGCCAGGCUGCACCUGCCCAGGUCUACCCUUAUGACGCCCUCAUUGUCACAAACCGAAUUCGCGUGAAACUGCCCAGAGAUGUGGACCGCACGAGACUGGAGAGGCACCUGUCGCCCGAGGAGUUCCAGGAAGUGUUUGGAAUGAGUGUACAAGAGUUCGACCGCCUGGCCCUCUGGAAGAGGAACGACCUCAAGAAGAAAGCCCUGUUGUUUUGACGGCCUCCAGCGUGCCAGCGACAGAGCGUGGGACAGCUGGCGAGAACCGCAGAACCCCCUCCUCCCGCACCUGGCUCUGGCUUCUCUGUGUCCCUGCGGGCGGGCGGCGGGCCCCUGGAGAGGGCGGGGUGGGAGGCUGGGGCGGGAGGAUGUUCCAGAGCACGUGCGGCCUCUAGUUUCUGCCAGCUACGCUCCUGCCCCUAGUUCAGAGCCCAGACGCCUUGCUUCGCGCUGCACGUGUAACCCGCAGCACGGAGGGGCUGCAAAGAUGCUCCCGGGGCUCGAGGAACAUUUACCUUGACCGUGCGGCGCGCCCCCCCCCCCCCCCCCCGCCCCUGUGCAGUGCCCCACCCCCCGUGAUAGGCCCUGGGGGCACACAGAGGUGCCUGGGCCUUGGGAUUUGAGGAGGUCUGUCAAUGACAGACGCUGGCACGACACAAUCACGGGUGGGUGGGCCUAUGGCUCCCAGCGCCUGCUCCCCGCCCCCCUCCCCCGCUUGCUCAGCCCUGGGGAGGCACAGCCUCGCGCACAGACAGGCCAGGCGUGGCCAGGGAGAGCGCUGAGGAGCACCCAGGGCCGCUCGAAGCGAAGCGUGGGGUGCAUGAUGUUUGCCGCCGUUUGUGACGAGUCUGUUUUUAGGGACAACCGUCCACCGGACAGGGUACCUUCUGCCGGGGCCCUCCGUGCACUGCAUUUUUCUUCCAGACCAUCCCCUAGAUGCCUAAAUGAUAUCUUUAAAGUAACACAGAAGUUUUUAUUUUAUUAAAAAGCAUAGCCUACUUAAACAUAAGAUGACAUAGAUAAGAGUUCCAUUUUACGGUCCCGCGGAAGGGGAGCGCCUCCAGCCUUACUCUCCAGUGUCCGGUCCUGUGUGGUUUCGCUUCCCCGUGUGCUCCUAGCGCACACAGCUCCUUGUCAGGUUUCUUUGCUUUUCUUCUUUUUCACCUGCCACACCGGUGCCCUUAAGGGCAGCCCUUAACGGCCACGUAAUGCCGUUUCUAAGUAUGCGUGACGUGUCGCCAUCACUGUUUGCCUGGCUGUUAUUUUCCGCAUCCCGGAGAGAAAAGAUUCUCCUCUGAUGGCCAAAGCCGCCGAAUAAAGGAGUUCCACGCACCCAGCCUAACACCCAGCGUAGCUCUUGGGGUGCCCUUUUGUGACGUGGCCGGUGGUGCCCGCCUUAGCCCGGUGCGUGCGUGGUCCCGAGGCGGGCACCGGCCGCUGGGGAAGGAGGAGGGAGACACCCCCCCUUUUCUGACCUGCCCGCUCCGCAGCAGAAGCCCGGCCGGGCCCCCAGCUGAAAGGCGUCCGCGUCUGUAAUCGGGUGCGGGUCGGGGCGCGGUGUCUGUCGCAGGCGGCUUGUAGAGUGGGUUGAGAGGUUCGCGAAUCAGUAGGAAGGUGUCACCGAAGUCUGUCUUCCCUGUCUUCUGUGGGGCUGUGUCUUUCUGUGCGUCCUGAACGCCCGUCCGUGAGUCAGUGUUACUCAGAUCCCUCCGGCCCCCGCCACGCACCCCGUCGUGCACCGGCUCCUCACCGGCCCGGCUCGGCCAGGGAGGGGGAGUUUCUAGCACCUUCCAUUUAGCAGAGCCUGAGCAACUGAAAACCCCCAUUUUUCUCACUAGUGCAAUGUCAUGUCAGCUCCCAGGGGAGCCCGGAAAAAUAAAGGUCGGUGUAUCCUAACUUGUGAAGGUCAAA